rnacentral:rRNA from 1 species
CGAAGGGUGCAAGCGUUAGUCGGAAUUACUGGGCGUAAAGCGUGCGUAGGCGGUUUCUUAAGUCUGCCGUGAAAGCCCCGGGCUCAACCUGGGAAUGGCGGUGGAUACUGGGAAGCUGGAGUGCGGUAGAGGAGGGUGGAAUUCCCGGUGUAGCGGUGAAAUGCGUAGAGAUCGGGAGGAACAUCAGUGGCGAAGGCGGCCCUCUGGACCAGCACUGACGCUGAGGCACGAAAGCGUGGGGAGGCAAACAGGAUUAGAUACCCUGGUAGUCCACGCCCUAAACGAUGCGAACUGGACGUUGGGCACAACUCGGUGCUCAGUGUCGAAGCUAACGCGUUAAGUUCGCCGCCUGGGGAGUACGCUCGCAAGAGUG